rnacentral:rRNA from 1 species
GAGCCAGACUCCUACGGGAGGCAGCAGUGGGGGAUAUUGCACAAUGGGGGAAACCCUGAUGCAGCGACGCCGCGUGAGUGAAGAAGUAUUUCGGUAUGUAAAGCUCUAUCAGCAGGGAAGAAAAUGACGGUACCUGACUAAGAAGCCCCGGCUAACUACGUGCCAGCAGCCGCGGUAAUACGUAGGGGGCAAGCGUUAUCCGGAUUUACUGGGUGUAAAGGGAGCGUAGACGGCAUGGCAAGUCAGAUGUGAAAGCCCGGGGCUCAACCCCGGGACUGCAUUUGAAACUGUCAGGCUGGAGUGCAGGAGAGGUAAGUGGAAUUCCUAGUGUAGCGGUGAAAUGCGUAGAUAUUAGGAGGAACACCAGUGGCGAAGGCGGCCUGCUGGACGAUGACUGACGUUGAGGCUCGAAAGCGUGGGGAGCAAACAGGAUUAGAUACCCCUGUAUUC